AUUGAACGCUGGCGGCAUGCCUUACACAUGCAAGUCGAACGGCAGCACGGGGCAACCUGGUGGCGAGUGGCGAACGGGUGAGUAAUGCAUCGGAACGUACCUUUCAGUGGGGGAUAACGUAGCGAAAGUUACGCUAAUACCGCAUAUUCUGUGAGCAGGAAAGCAGGGGAUCGCAAGACCUUGCGCUGAUUGAGCGGCCGAUGUCAGAUUAGCUAGUUGGUGAGGUAAAGGCUCACCAAGGCGACGAUCCGUAUCGGGUCUGAGAGGAUGAUCCGCCACACUGGAACUGAGACACGGUCCAGACUCCUACGGGAGGCAGCAGCGGGGAAUUUUGGACAAUGGGGGCAACCCUGAUCCAGCCAUGCCGCGUGAGUGAAGAAGGCCUUCGGGUUGUAAAGCUCUUUCGGCCGGGAAGAAAUCGCACGGGCUAAUACCCUGUGUGGAUGACGGUACCGGAAUAAGAAGCACCGGCUAACUACGUGCCAGCCGCCGCCGUAAAAC
rnacentral:rRNA from 1 species